rnacentral:rRNA from 1 species
UACGAAGGGGGCUAGCGUUGCUCGGAAUCACUGGGCGUAAAGCGCCCGUAGGCGGAUUUGUAAGUCAGGGGUGAAAUCCCGGGGCUCAACCUCGGAACUGCCUUUGAUACUGCGAAUCUUGAGUCCGAUAGAGGUGGGUGGAAUUCCUAGUGUAGAGGUGAAAUUCGUAGAUAUUAGGAAGAACACCGGUGGCGAAGGCGGCCCACUGGAUCGGUACUGACGCUGAGGUGCGAAAGCGUGGGGAGCAAACAGG